CCCACCUGGAGGCUGGCCUAGCCAGCUUUCUCCUAGCCAGGCUGGCUCCCCAGAGGGUGUAAGGGAUCGGGCAAAGGACCCCCAUUAUGCAACUGGCUUGCCUAUUCUUCCUUAGCGUUGUUGCUUUGUGUUCAUUGAAAAUAAGCAGAGCAGAGAUACCUCACGGUUUCGAUCUCCUGUUGAACGGUUCAAAUGAAGGAGAGACAGAAGACAAUGAUAUCAUCGUCCGGAGAGCUGUGCGGAAGUAUCCAGAAGAUUCUGAGGACAUAGGUAUUGGGCACCGGCAGGCCUCAAUACGAGUGUCGCCAGUAGAGUGCAACUGCCCUGAGGUGCUGGCCAAAGGCACUCUGGUGGCCAUUGUGGCUGCCUUGGCCUUCCUGAGCUUCUUUUCCAUCACGAUUCUCCUGGUGGUGGCCAUCUGCAUCCUGCGCCUGGUGGAGAAGCAGAAGAAAAAGGAGAAAGAGGAGAAGCCGGCCCGCUCUUCGCACCGGAGACUGGUCCCUCCUGUUCCGCCCCCCCGCCCGGAGCAUACGUACAUGACGGUGCAGCCUUUGCACGGAUAUGAACGGCUCCACCCAGCCUCCCCGCGGGCGGCAAGAGGCAUCUAUCUGAGUGCCAGUGAGCUGCACCCUGGUCCCAGAGUCCAUCGGGAGAAAGGUUACCAGAGUGCCAGCGUGACGCCACCAGGAGCCAAGUCAGUAGGAAUAAGAAUGGGGAAGGCCUCUUCUUUAACAAAUGGCUUGAUUAAUAUCCUGCCUGUCUCCCAUGCUGGGAGCCAAGGCAGUUUCUUUGGGUGGCAUGCAGAGUGUGUGGGAAGGGAAGGCAGGCGAGCUGCACCCAGAGAUUGGAAAAUGGGGCUGCAGGGCCCUGCAUUUCCCAGCUGGAGUGGCUGCUGGGAGCUGUAGGCGAAGAAAUUAAUGUUUCCGAGCUCUGGCAAGGGGGCAGACCUCCCCUAGCGCUUCCCAGAUGGAAAUGGAGGGGCACACUUGCUUCCCCCGCUGACUGCGUCAGCAUCUCCCCUUUCUAAUGGCUCCUUCAUAGGGACCUCAGACAGCUCUUGUACCUUGCCUGUCUGCAGUGUUCAUUGACUGGAGCUCCCUGCUUUUCCUCUGGGGCCCCUCCUGUACCUUCACACAUGCACAGGGGGCUUCUUUUCUUUCCAGGUCUACUCGAGAGAAUGAGUAUAUUGGCCCUGACCCAGCACCAUCUCUUUCCACGCCCCCUUUGGACAAAUCAUACACAAGUGCAGAUAAGACGGGUUCUCAGUAAGUGUGGGGCCCUGAAUGAGGAGAUAGGGUUGGGGGUUAAAAUAACCAACCUGGGA